rnacentral:tRNA from 1 species
GAAUCUGUGGUGUAAUGGUAGCGCGUCUCACCCUAGAUCAGAAGGUCGAGUGUUUGAUUCACGUCGGAUUCA